GAUGAACGCUGGCGGUAUGCUUAACACAUGCAAGUCGAACGGACUCCUCGGAGUUAGUGGCGGACGGGUGAGUAACGCGUGAGAAUCUGGCUUUGGGUUCGGGACAACCACUGGAAACGGUGGCUAAUACCGGAUGUGCCGAGAGGUAAAAGAGAAAUUGCCUGAAGAUGAGCUCGCGUCUGAUUAGCUAGUUGGUGAGGUAAAGGCUCACCAAGGAAGCGAUCAGUAGCUGGUCUGAGAGGACGACCAGCCACACUGGGACUGAGACACGGCCCAGACACAUACGGGAGGCAGCAGUGGAGAAUGUUCCGCAAUGGGCGAAAGCCUGACGGAGCAAUACCGCGUGAGGGAAGAAGGCUCUUGGGUUGUAAACCUCUUCUCUUAGGGAAGAACAAAAUGACGGUACCUAAAGAAUCAGCAUCGGCUAACUCCGUG
rnacentral:rRNA from 1 species